rnacentral:rRNA from 1 species
AAUCUUGAGAGCGGCGUACGGGUGCGGAACACGUGUGCAACCUGCCUUUAUCAGGGGGAUAGCCUUUCGAAAGGAAGAUUAAUACCCCAUAAUAUAUUGAAUGGCAUCAUUUAAUAUUGAAAACUCCGGUGGAUAGAGAUGGGCACGCGCAAGAUUAGAUAGUUGGUGAGGUAACGGCUCACCAAGUCUACGAUCUUUAGGGGGCCUGAGAGGGUGAUCCCCCACACUGGUACUGAGACACGGACCAGACUCCUACGGGAGGCAGCAGUGAGGAAUAUUGGACAAUGGGUGAGAGCCUGAUCCAGCCAUCCCGCGUGAAGGACGACGGCCCUAUGGGUUGUAAACUUCUUUUGUAUAGGGAUAAACCUAGAUACGUGUAUCUAGCUGAAGGUACUAUACGAAUAAGCACCGGCUAACUCCGUGCCAGCAGCCGCGGUAAUACGGAGGGUGCAAGCGUUAUCCGGAUUUAUUGGGUUUAAAGGGUCCGUAGGCGGAUUUGUAAGUCAGUGGUGAAAUCUCACAGCUUAACUGUGAAACUGCCAUUGAUACUGCAAGUCUUGAGUGUUGUUGAAGUAGCUGGAAUAAGUAGUGUAGCGGUGAAAUGCAUAGAUAUUACUUAGAACACCAAUUGCGAAGGCAGGUUACUAAGCAACAACUGACGCUGAUGGACGAAAGCGUGGGGAGCGAACAGGAUUAGAUACCCUGGUAGUCCACGCCGUAAACGAUGCUAACUCGUUUUUGGAGCGCAAGCUUCAGAGACUAAGCGAAAGUGAUAAGUUAGCCACCUGGGGAGUACGAACGCAAGUUUGAAACUCAAAGGAAUUGACGGGGGCCCGCACAAGCGGUGGAUUAUGUGGUUUAAUUCGAUGAUACGCGAGGAACCUUACCAAGGCUUAAAUGGGAAAUGACAGGUUUAGAAAUAGACUUUUCUUCGGACAUUUUUCAAGGUGCUGCAUGGUUGUCGUCAGCUCGUGCCGUGAGGUGUUAGGUUAAGUCCUGCAACGAGCGCAACCCCUGUCACUAGUUGCCAUCAUUAAGUUGGGGACUCUAGUGAGACUGCCUACGCAAGUAGAGAGGAAGGUGGGGAUGACGUCAAAUCAUCACGGCCCUUACGCCUUGGGCCACACACGUAAUACAAUGGCCGGUACAGAGGGCAGCUACACUGCGAAGUGAUGCAAAUCUCGAAAGCCGGUCUCAGUUCGGAUUGGAGUCUGCAACUCGACUCUAUGAAGCUGGAAUCGCUAGUAAUCGCGCAUCAGCCAUGGCGCGGUGAAUACGUUCCCGGGCCUUGUACACACCGCCCGUCAAGCCAUGGAAGUCUGGGG